UACGUAGGGUGCGAGCGUUAAUCGGAAUUACUGGGCGUAAAGCGUGCGCAGGCGGUUUGCUAAGACCGAUGUGAAAUCCCCGGGCUUAACCUGGGAACUGCAUUGGUGACUGGCAGGCUAGAGUAUGGCAGAGGGGGGUAGAAUUCCACGUGUAGCAGUGAAAUGCGUAGAGAGUGUGGAGGAAUACCGAUGGCGAAGGCAGCCCCCUGGGCCAAUACUGACGCUCAUG
rnacentral:rRNA from 1 species